rnacentral:rRNA from 1 species
UUGGAGGGCAAGUCUGGUGCCAGCAGCCGCGGUAAUUCCAGCUCCAAUAGCGUAUAUUAAAGUUGUUGCAGUUAAAAAGCUCGUAGUUGAAUUUCGGGGUUAGUAGGUUGGUCAUGCCUCUGGUAUGUACUGGUCUCACUGAUUCCUCCUUCCUGAAGAAUCUUAAUGCCAUUAAUUUGGUGUUUUGGGGAAUUUGGACUGUUACUUUGAAAAAAUUAGAGUGUUUAAAGCAAGCUAACGCUUGAAUAUAUUAGCAUGGAAUAAUGAAAUAGGACGUUCGAUCCUAUUUUGUUGGUUUCUAGGAUUGACGUAAUGAUUAUAGGGAUAGUUGGGGGCAUUAGUAUUCAAUUGUCAGAGGUGAAAUUCUUGGAUUUAUUGAAGACUAACUACUGCGAAAGCAUUUGCCAAGGAUGUUUUUAUUAAUCAAGAACGAAAGUUAGGGGAUCGAAGACGAUCAGAUACCGUCGUAGUCUUAACCAUAAACUAUGCCGACUAGGGAUCGGAUGAUGUUAAUUUUUUAAUGACUCAUUCGGCGCCUUACGGGAAACCAAAGUGUUUGGGUUC